CCUACGGGUGGCAGCAGUGAGGAAUAUUGGUCAAUGGGCGCGAGCCUGAACCAGCCAAGUAGCGUGAAGGAUGACUGCCCUACGGGUUGUAAACUUCUUUUAUAAAGGAAUAAAGUGAGGCACGUUUGCCUUUUUGUAUGUACUUUAUGAAUAAGGCUCGGCUAACUCCGUGCCAGCCGCCGCGGUAAUACGGAGGAUCCGAGCGUUAGCCGGAUUUAUUGGGUUUAAAGGGAGCGUAGAUGGGUUGUUAAGUCAGUUGUGAAAGUUUGCGGCUCAACCGUAAAAUUGCAAUUGAUACUGGCAGGCUUGAGUACAGUUGAGGUAGGCGGAAUUCGUGGUGUAGCGGUGAAAUGCGUAGAUAUCACGAAGAACUCCGAUUGCGAAGGCAGCUUACUAAACUGCCACUGACAUUGAGGCGCGAAAGUGUGGGUAUCAAACAGGAUUAGAUACCCGAGUAGUC
rnacentral:rRNA from 1 species